rnacentral:rRNA from 1 species
UGGUUUUUAGGCUUCGGUCUAAAAAUCUAGUGGCGAACGGGUGAGUAACACGUGAGCAACCAACCCUUUAGUUUGGGAUAGCCCUGCGAAAGCAGGAUUAAUACCGAAUGUGGUCAACGGAAGGCAUCUUCUGUUGAGUAAAGCAGCAAUGCGCUAAAGGACGGGCUCGCGUCCUAUUAGCUUGUUGGUGGGGUAACGGCCUACCAAGGCGAUGAUGGGUAGCUGGUCUGAGAGGAUGAUCAGCCACACUGGGACUGCGACACGGCCCAGACUCCUACGGGAGGCAGCAGCUAGGAAUCUUCCGCAAUGGGCGAAAGCCUGACGGAGUAACGCCGCGUGUGUGAUGAAGACCUUCGGGUUGUAAAACACUGUCUGAGGGGAAGAACGAAUGACGGUACCCUCAAAGAAAGCCUCGGCUAACUACGUGCCAGCAGCCGCGGUAAUACGUAGGAGGCAAGCGUUAUCCGGAUUUACUGGGCGUACAGCGCAUUAAGGCGGCCAACAAAGUUGGUUGUGAAAUCUCAGGGCUCAACCCUGAAAUUGCGUCCAAUACUAGUUGGCUAGAGUGUGAGAGAGGAAAGUGGAAUUCCCGGUGUAGUAGUGAAAUGCGUAGAUAUCGGGAGGAACACCAGUGGCGAAGGCGGCUUUCUAGCUCACAACUGACGCUGUAGUGCAAAAGCGUGGGGAGCGAACGGGAUUAGAUACCCCGGUAGUCCACGCCCUAAACUAUGUGUACUAGGUGUUAGGCGUAUUGACGCGCUUAGUGCCGAAGCUAACGCAUGAAGUACACCGCCUGGGGAGUACGGUCGCAAGAUU